CCUACGGGGGGCAGCAGUGAGGAAUCUUGCGCAAUGGGCGUAAGCCUGAACCAGCCAAGCCGCGUGAGUGAUGAAGGUUCUAUGGAUCGUAAACCUCUUUUAUAAGGGAAUAAAGUGUGGGACGUGACCUAUUUUGUAUGUACCUUAUGAAUAAGGAUCGGCUCGCUCCGUUCCAGCAGCCGCGGUAAUACGGAGGCUCCGAGCGUUAUCCGGAUUUAUUGGGUUUAAAGGGUGCGUAGGCGGCCUUUUAAGUCAGCGGUGAAAGCCUGUGGCUCAACCAUAGAAUGGCCGUUGAAACUGGGGGGCUUGAGUAUGUUUGAGGAAGGCGGAAUGCGUGGUGUAGCGGUGAAAUGCUUAGAUAUCACGCAGAACCCCGAUUGCGAAGGCAGCUUGCCAAGCCAUGACUGACGCUGAUGCACGAAAGCGUGGGGAUCAAACAGGAUUAGAUACCCCUGUAGUC
rnacentral:rRNA from 1 species